ensembl:lincRNA 4930453H23Rik RIKEN cDNA 4930453H23 gene
AGUCUUGCCACACUGUCCAUCUCAGCUGGGAUUGGGAUUGGGGGCUAUUGAUCUCUGAGUCCUCAAUGAAGGAGUGGAAUUUGAUUUCCUAAGAAAAGACAAAAAAUAGCUGGUUCAUCACUGCAACAAGCUGAUCACCAUCGGGACCCCUGGUCUUUUCUACUUUUUCUAACUGCCCUCUCCCUGCAGGAAAAAAAGCCAAUCUUCUCAAGAAUCUUACUUCUCCGCAGAGGCUCUGGCCACAUUCAGACACCAGUUCCUGAGAGAUCUGUGCAGGAGAGCCCAGCUUCUCAGCACUGUCUGUAGAUCCUCAGCUCUGAGAGCUCGGCUGCCUUCCAUUGGACAACAUCUGGUAGCAGGAAGAGCUGAAGCAGCACUUGGUAUCCAGGCAGUGUGGGACAGGGUUCAGAGACAGCGAAAGGUGGUCUGCUACCAUCAGGCAAGUCUCCCAGGGAUAUCAACUGAACAUGGCACAACAAGAUUCAGAAGAACAGGAACAAACCUUCUUCUCACAGCUGGAAGAGACAACACAGUAGGAGAGAAGGGGUCCCAAGCUCUAGGGAAAGAGUCUGAGACAACUUCACUCCCAGUUUGAGGGCUCUCACAAGAUCACCAAGUUGACAUCUACAUUUUCAGAGGGCCAAGCACUGACCCAUACAGACUCCCUGAUUGUCAGUUUGAUCUGUCUUGGCAUCUCUGAGCUCCAAAGGGAGGAAUCCGAUUGAGAUCUUCAAGUGCAGUUCUCUCUCUGUGCCCAGUGUUUGUCUGUGGGAGUCUGCAUCUAGAGCCCUCUGAAAGGUAUCAAUCGGCCACUCCAAACACCAUCCAAUAAGAAAUACAAGAAGCACUCUGAAGAAGUCGUUGCUCCUAGACAUACCCAGACAUCCAUUUCAGCCAAAAUAAUUGAAAAAGACCCAUGAAGAGAGAAGAUGGAUGAAGAGCAAUACCAAAAGAGUUCAAAAUCACCUCAAAAGAUGCUAAAGACAGUUGAAUUCAAGAAAAAGAAACACGUUAGGUUUCUGUUACCCCACAAAGCUGACAAGGAAAAGAAACCCUCUUCCCCAGGAGAUACAGAUGAGUCAAAGUUCAGAUGUGAAUGCCACCACUGCCAGAUGUGUGGGGGGAACACAUCUGGGAUCUCUGAGGGAACUGGGACAGAAGCAGUCUCUCCAUCAUCCUCCUGGUAAAAGCUAACACUAGACCUCAGUAACUUGACACUCAACCUUCAUACCACCCAACCCCAUCUUGUACAAGACACCAUAUCAAAAGGAGAGAACAAAAUUCAGUGGUCAAGGAAAAACAAAAGGAUGUUUCAAAAGGUUCUAUACAAAUGGACAGAAUGACUGUGACACUGUCAUCCUCAUGAGAAGGAAGAUCCAAACCUACAGGAUCAUGAGUGUCAACAUCUUUUGGGGAGCAUGGUCAGGAGGAGUAAUGUCCAACCGAGUGAUAAUAAUACAGCCAGAUCGUGAUUCUAAUCUAUUCCACAAAUAUAGCCAUCUUUUCCUUGGUAGUUUAGGCAUCUUCCCUGAGGCAUUCUGAGAAGAGAUGCUCCUCAGCAAGGAUGACCAGAUUGUGAUUUUUCUAUACUCCCCAUGUCAGUGUUCCCAUAGGGCUUGCUACCAUUUUUCCCCUCCUUGUUGCCAAUAAAGUUAGAACAUCUA